rnacentral:rRNA from 1 species
AGGACGAACGCUGGCGGCGUGCCUAACACAUGCAAGUCGAGCGAGGAGAUCCUUCGGGAUGAUCCUAGCGGCGGACGGGUGAGUAACACGUGGGCAACCUGCCUCAUAGAGAGGAAUAGCCUUCCGAAAGGGAGAUUAAUACCUCAUAACAUUGCAGUUUCGCAUGGAGCAGCAAUUAAAGGAGUAAUCCGCUAUGAGAUGGGCCCCGCGGCGCAUUAGCUAGUUGGUGAGGUAACGGCUCACCAAGGCGACGAUGCGUAGCCGACCUGAGAGGGUGAUCGGCCACAUUGGGACUGAGACACGGCCCAGACUCCUACGGGAGGCAGCAGUGGGGAAUAUUGCACAAUGGGGGAAACCCUGAUGCAAGCAACGCCGCGUGAGUGAUGACGGCCUUCGGGUUGUAAAGCUCUGUCUUCAGGGACGAUAAUGACGGUACCUGAGGAGGAAGCCACGGCUAACUACGUGCCAGCAGCGGC